rfam:Aedes aegypti strain Liverpool supercont1.23 genomic scaffold, whole genome shotgun sequence.
GCUCGGUAGCUUAGUUGGGAAAGCGCUCGUCUAGCAUACAAGAGUCCUGGGUUCAAAUCCCAGGCGAGCA